UACGUAGGGGGGCAAGCGUUGUCCGGAUUUAUUGGGCGUAAAGAGCGUGUAGGCGGCCAGGUAGGUCCGUUGUGAAAACUGGAGGCUUAACCUCCAGCUGUCGAUGGAAACCAUCUGGCUAGAGUCCGGAAGAGGAGAGUGGAAUUCCUGGUGUAGCGGUGAAAUGCGCAGGAUAUCAGGAAGAACACCCGUGGCGAAGGCGGCUCUCUGGGACGGUACUGACGCUGAGACGCGAAAGCGUGGGGAGCGAACAGG
rnacentral:rRNA from 1 species